UACGGGGGGAGCAAGCGUUGUUCGGAUUUACUGGGCGUAAAGGGCGCGUAGGCGGCCACCGCAAGUCGACUGUGAAAUCUCCGGGCUUAACCCGGAAAGGUCAGCCGAUACUGCGGGGCUAGAGUGCAGAAGGGGCAACUGGAAUUCUCGGUGUAGCGGUGAAGUGCGUAGAUAUCGAGAGGAACACCUGCGGCGAAGGCGGGUUGCUGGGCUGACACUGACGCUGAUGCGCGAAAGCUAGGGGAGCGAACGGG
rnacentral:rRNA from 1 species